UACGUAGGGGGCAAGCGUUGUCCGGAAUCAUUGGGCGUAAAGAGCGUGUAGGCGGCUUGGUAAGUCCGCUGUGAAAGUCCAGGGCUCAACCCUGGAAUGCCGGUGGAAACUGUCAAGCUUGAGUCCGGAAGAGGCGAGUGGAAUUCCUGGUGUAGCGGUGAAAUGCGCAGAUAUCAGGAAGAACACCCGUGGCUAAGGCGGCUCGCUAGUACGGUACUGACGCUGAGACGCGAAAGCGUGGGGAGCGAACAGG
rnacentral:rRNA from 1 species